rnacentral:rRNA from 1 species
UACGUGGUUUAAUUCGACGCAACGCGCAGAACCUUACCUAGACUUAGACAUCCCGGGAUUUCUGGAAACAGAGAAGUGCUUUAGCAAUAAAGAACCCGGUGACAGGUGCUGCAUGGCUGUCGUCAGCUCGUGUCGUGAGAUGUUGGGUUAAGUCCCGCAACGAGCGCAACCCUCGCCUUUAGUUGCCAGCAUUCAGUUGGGCACUCUAGAGGGACUGCCGGUGUCAAACCGGAGGAAGUGGGGAUGACGUCAAGUCCUCAUGGCCUUUAUGUCUAGGGCUACACACGUACUACAAUGGCCGGUACAAAGGGCAGCCACUCAGCGAUGAGGCGCUAAUCCCAUAAAGCCGGUCUCAGUCCGGAUCGCAGUCUGCAACUCGCCUACAUGAAGUCGGAAUCGCUAGUAAUCGCGGAUCAGCACGCCGCGGUGAAUACGUUCCCGGGCCUU